rnacentral:rRNA from 1 species
AUGGUGUUCCCAGGCAGGGGAAGUAUCUGUGUCGAUGCUGACAGUGUUCAAAAGGUAUUUGAUCUUCCUAACAGGGGUCAAAAAGUCAGAUAUAAAGUUGACAAGGAUACAACUAGGAGAUUUAGAGAGACUUUCAACAUACAUGGACAUUCUCAUCCCCAGAUCACUACAUGGACCAAGAUGAUUAAGGAUAUGGGGAUCAUGUACCUUGACGCGCUCGUUCAUGACAUCCCAGUAAGCAACUGUGCGAUACAAUCGAAUGUAUGGGACAGUAACCUAAUUGCCAAGGUGAUCAAGAAGGACACGGUCUCUCCUGGUGUGUUCGGCAAAUUACAAGCAAAGAUUGCCAAAGUGGUCAAUGACUUGUGCAAGGCAGUAACUGAACAGGUUGGCACCUUCAUUGAAGCAGUUGCCAAGAUCGAUGAUGAGGAACUGGAUGUUGAUCCAUAUGUACAACAGACAUCAACGGGAACCGCUCCGUCACGCCAUGAUCCAAAAAGGAAGAGACAAGUUUCACCUAUACAAGAAGAAGAAGAGUUUGAUGAGGAGGAGUUAGAAGAAGAUGAUGAAAUGGAAGUACCACAAGAUGUUGAAGACGACGGGGAGACAGAUGAGGAUGAAUCAGAGGAGGAGGACAAAGAGGAGGAGGACAAAGAAAAAUAG